rnacentral:rRNA from 1 species
AUCAGUAGCCGGCCUGAGAGGGUGAACGGCCACACUGGGACUGAGACACGGCCNAGACUCCUACGGGAGGCAGCAGUGGGGAAUCUUCCGCAAUGGACGAAAGUCUGACGGAGCAACGCCGCGUGUAUGAUGAAGGUCUUCGGAUUGUAAAGUACUGUCUUUGGGGAAGAACGGUGAGGUUGAAAAUAUUGAUUUCACAUGACGGUACCCAAGGAGGAAGCC